CCCUUAGAUGUUCUGGGCUGCACGCGCGCUACACUGAUGCACUCAACGAGUUUACGACCUUGCCCGAUAGGGUUGGGUAAUCUUUUUAAAAUGCAUCGUGAUGGGGAUAGAUUAUUGCAAUCAUUAAUCUUCAACGAGGAAUUCCUAGUAAGCGCGAGUCAUCAGCUCGUGCUGAUUACGUCCCUGCCCUUUGUACACACCGCCCGUCGCUCCUACCGAUUGAGUGCUCAGGUGAAUAAUUCGGACUGCAGCAAUGUUUGGAUCCCGAACGUUGCAGCGGAAAGUUUAGUGAACCUUAUCACUUAGAGGAAGGAGAAGUCGUAACA
rnacentral:rRNA from 1 species